rnacentral:ncRNA from 1 species
UAUUUGUUUAACUAUGGCAAUAGGAAGAUUUGCUUUUUUAAUUGCAUAAAAUUAUUUUAAGUAUGACUGUGAUUGGUUACUCCUUUGUGGAUUAGCAAUUAGUUUUUUAUUAGGAUUUACGUCCCUUAAGAGAAGAGCAAUAGAAGGGGAUAGGACACAGUGCCAGCAUCCGCGGUUAAUCUGUUUUCUUUGCUUUUACUUGAAUCUUGGUCAGCUGGGUACGAGCAAGGUUAGGUGAAAUUUUCUUGUGUUCAAGCAGUUCUGCUGUUUUUGAGGAACUUAGGGUUUAACGACAGGGAUUAGAUACCCCAUUAGUUACUAGGUUACUUUAUUUUAGUUUUAUAACUAAAAUAGUUUGGCAGUGAGUUACUCCCGUCGGGGGAAGGUGUGUUAUAAAGGACGAUCCGCCAAAUAAUUAACCUGUGUUAUGUUGGUGUAUAUCUGGUUAGAUAUUAUUGCUUAAUAGCCUAAUUUGUAUACUUAUAAUUAAGCCAAGUCUAUGUGCUGCAUGCACAGGGUUUCAUGCGUUACUAUUAAUUAAGAGCUUUACUGUAAGGUUAAAGCUACAUUAGGGACUCGAGAGUAAUGGUGCUUUAACCAGGCACUGUGAAAGGGGUUUAACUCAGGUACACACCGCCCGUCACCCUCGGCGUAUGUUGAGGUAAGUCGUAACAUGGUAACCCCAAAUGAAUUUGGGGUUA